GUCCUACGGGCGGCUGCAGUGGGGAAUAUUGGACAAUGGGCGCAAGCCUGAUCCAGCCAUGCCGCGUGAGUGAUGAAGGCCUUAGGGUUGUAAAGCUCUUUCGCCGGUGAAGAUAAUGACGGUAACCGGAGAAGAAGCCCCGGCUAACUUCGUGCCAGCAGCCGCGGUAAUACGAAGGGGGCUAGCGUUGCUCGGAAUCACUGGGCGUAAAGCGCACGUAGGCGGAUCGUUAAGUCAGGGGUGAAAUCCUGGGGCUCAACCUCAGAACUGCCCUUGAUACUGGCGAUCUCGAGUUCGAGAGAGGUUGGUGGAACUCCGAGUGUAGAGGUGAAAUUCGUAGAUAUUCGGAAGAACACCAGUGGCGAAGGCGGCCAACUGGCUCGAUACUGACGCUGAGGUGCGAAAGCGUGGGGAGCAAACAGGAUUAGAUACCCCAGUAGUC
rnacentral:rRNA from 1 species